AAUAGAUACCCGGGUAGUCCACGCCCUAAACGAUGUCAACUAGCUGUUGGGGCCUUCGGGCCUUAGUAGCGCAGCUAACGCGUGAAGUUGACCGCCUGGGGAGUACGGUCGCAAGAUUAAAACUCAAAGGAAUUGACGGGGACCCGCACAAGCGGUGGAUGAUGUGGAUUAAUUCGAUGCAACGCGAAAACCUUACCUACCCUUGACAUGUCUGGAAUGCCGAAGAGAUUUGGCAGUGCUCGCAAGAGAACCGGAACACAGGUGCUGCAUGGCUGUCGUCAGCUCGUGUCGUGAGAUGUUGGGUUAAGUCCCGCAACGAGCGCAACCCUUGUCAUUAGUUGCUACGAAAGGGCACUCUAAUGAGACUGCCGGUGACAAACCGGAGGAAGUGGGGAUGACGUCAAGUCCUCAUGGCCCCUUAUGGGUAGGGCUUUCACACGUCAUACAAUGGUCGGGACAGAGGGGUCGCCAAACCCGGCAAGGGGGGAGCCAAAUCCCAGAAAACCCGAUCGUAGUCCGGAUUGGAGUCUGCAACUCGACUCC
rnacentral:rRNA from 1 species